rnacentral:snRNA from 1 species
AGCACAUGUGCUAAAAUUGGAACAAGGAACAAUACAGGGAAGACUAACAUGGCCCCUGCACAAAGAUGACAUGCAAAUUUGUGAAGUAUUCCAUAUUUUU